GCAGUCGAGCGGUAGAGAGAAGCUUGCUUCUCUUGAGAGCGGCGGACGGGUGAGUAAUGCCUAGGAAUCUGCCUGGUAGUGGGGGAUAACGUUCGGAAACGGACGCUAAUACCGCAUACGUCCUACGGGAGAAAGCAGGGGACCUUCGGGCCUUGCGCUAUCAGAUGAGCCUAGGUCGGAUUAGCUAGUUGGUGGGGUAAUGGCUCACCAAGGCGACGAUCCGUAACUGGUCUGAGAGGAUGAUCAGUCACACUGGAACUGAGACACGGUCCAGACUCCUACGGGAGGCAGCAGUGGGGAAUAUUGGACAAUGGGCGAAAGCCUGAUCCAGCCAUGCCGCGUGUGUGAAGAAGGUCUUCGGAUUGUAAAGCACUUUAAGUUGGGAGGAAGGGUUGUAGAUUAAUACUCUGCAAUUUUGACGUUACCGACAGAAUAAGCACCGGCUAACUCUGUGCCAGCAGCCGCGGUAAUACAGAGGGUGCAAGCGUUAAUCGGAAUUACUGGGCGUAAAGCGCGCGUAGGUGGUUUGUUAAGUUGGAUGUGAAAUCCCCGGGCUCAACCUGGGAACUGCAUUCAAAACUGACUGACUAGAGUAUGGUAGAGGGUGGUGGAAUUUCCUGUGUAGCGGUGAAAUGCGUAGAUAU
rnacentral:rRNA from 1 species